GACGAACGCUGGCGGCGUGCUUAACACAUGCAAGUCGAACGGAUAACCGCUGCUUACGUGAGGAGUUCGCGACGGGAGGGUGAGACGUGCGCAAGAUUCUCCCGGCUCUGGGAUAACUACAACUGCAGGGGGCUGAUACUACUGCCUCAGAGCUGCGCGCGCAGGUGGGGGUGGUAGGGCUUGACGCCUGGGGAUGGGCCCGCGGCUUAUCAGCUCGUUGGUGGGGUAGGGGCAUACCAAGGCGACGAUGGGUAGCCGGCCUGAGAGGGUGACCGGCCACCAUGGGACUGCGAGACGGACCAGACUCCUACGGGAGGCAGCAGUGGGGAAUAUUGCACAAUGGGCGGAAGCCUGAUGAAGCGACGCCGCGUGCGGGAUGACGGCCUUCGGGUUGUAAACCGCUUUCAGCUGUGACGAAGCGGGAGUGACGGUACCUGCAGAAGAAGCACCGGCUAACUACGUG
rnacentral:rRNA from 1 species